GACGAACGCUGGCGGCGUGCUUAACACAUGCAAGUCGAACGGAAAGGCCCUGCUUUUGUGGGGUGCUCGAGUGGCGAACGGGUGAGUAACACGUGAGUAACCUGCCCUUGACUUUGGGAUAACUUCAGGAAACUGGGGCUAAUACCGGAUAGGAGCUCCUGCUGCAUGGUGGGGGUUGGAAAGUUUCGGCGGUUGGGGAUGGACUCGCGGCUUAUCAGCUUGUUGGUGGGGUAGUGGCUUACCAAGGCUUUGACGGGUAGCCGGCCUGAGAGGGUGACCGGCCACAUUGGGACUGAGAUACGUCCCAGACUCCUACGGGAGGCAGCAGUGGGGAAUAUUGCACAAUGGGCGGAAGCCUGAUGCAGCAACGCCGCGUGCGGGAUGACGGCCUUCGGGUUGUAAACCGCUUUCACCUGUGACGAAGCGUGAGUGACGGUAAUGGGUAAAGAAGCACCGGCUAACUACGUG
rnacentral:rRNA from 1 species